rnacentral:rRNA from 1 species
UACGGGGGGGGCAAGCGUUACUCGGAAUUACUGGGCGUAAAGCGUGCGUAGGUGGUUCGUUAAGUCUGAUGUGAAAGCCCUGGGCUCAACCUGGGAAUGGCAUUGGAAACUGGCGACCUAGAGUGCGGUAGAGGGUAGUGGAAUUCCCGGUGUAGCAGUGAAAUGCGUAGAGAUCGGGAGGAACAUCUGUGGCGAAGGCGACUGCCUGGACCAGCACUGACACUGAGGCACGAAAGCGUGGGGAGCAAACAGG